GGGGAAUAUUGCACAAUGGGGGAAACCCUGAUGCAGCGACGCCGCGUGGAGGAAGAAGGUCUUCGGAUUGUAAACUCCUGUUGUUGAGGAAGAUAAUGACGGUACUCAACAAGGAAGUGACGGCUAACUACGUGCCAGCAGCCGCGGUAAAACGUAGGUCACAAGCGUUGUCCGGAAUUACUGGGUGUAAAGGGAGCGCAGGCGGGAAGACAAGUUGGAAGUGAAAUCUAUGGGCUCAACCCAUAAACUGCUUUCAAAACUGUUUUUCUUGAGUAGUGCAGAGGUAGGCGGAAUUCCCGGUGUAGCGGUGGAAUGCGUAGAUAUCGGGAGGAACACCAGUGGCGAAGGCGGCCUACUGGGCACCAACUGACGCUGAGGCUCGAAAGUGUGGGUAGCAAACAGGAUUAGAUACCCUGGUAGUCCACACCGUAAACGAUGAUUACUAGGUGUUGGAGGAUUGACCCCUUCAGUGCCGCAGUUAACACAAUAAGUAAUCCACCUGGGGAGUACGACCGCAAGGUUGAAACUCAAAGGAAUUGACGGGGGCCCGCACAAGCAGUGGAGUAUGUGGUUUAAUUCGACGCAACGCGAAGAACCUUACCAAGUCUUGACAUCCUGCGACGAUGCUAGAAAUAGUAUUUUCCUUCGGGACGCAGAGACAGGUGGUGCAUGGUUGUCGUCAGCUCGUGUCGUGAGAUGUUGGGUUAAGUCCCGCAACGAGCGCAACCCUUAUGGUCAGUUACUACGCAAGAGGACUCUGGCCAGACUGCCGUUGACAAAACGGAGGAAGGUGGGGAUGACGUCAAAUCAUCAUGCCCUUUAUGACUUGGGCUACACACGUACUACAAUGGCGUUAAACAAAGAGAAGCAAGACCGCGAGGUGGAGCAAAACUCAGAAACAACGUCCCAGUUCGGACUGCAGGCUGCAACUCGCCUGCACGAAGUCGGAAUUGCUAGUAAUCGCAGAUCAGCAUGCUGCGGUGAAUACGUUCCCG
rnacentral:rRNA from 1 species